rnacentral:rRNA from 1 species
GUACACACCGCCCGUCACACCAUGGGAGUUGGCUUUACCUGAAGACGGUGCGCUAACCGCAAGGAGGCAGCCGGCCACGGUAGGGUCAGCGACUGGGGCGAAGUCGUAACAAGGUAKCCGUAGGUGAACCUGCAGAAGGAUCA